UACACGCUGUGACUAGCAUAUCAAUAAGCGGAGGAAAAGAAACUAACAAGGAUUCCCCUAGUAACGGCGAGUGAAGCGGGAAGAGCUCAAAUUUGAAAUCUUAAAGGGUUUCCCUUUACGAAUUGUAGUUUAAAGAAGUGUUUUCUGUUGAGGUUUUGGUAAAAGUUCUUUGGAAUAGGACAUCAUAGAGGGUGAGAAUCCCGUAUUUGACCUUUACUUUCAACUUUGUGAUACACUUUCAAAGAGUCGGAUUGUUUGGGAAUGCAGUCCAAAAUGGGUGGUAAAUUUCAUCUAAAGCUAAAUAUCGGCGAGAGACCGAUAGCGAACAAGUACCGUGAGGGAAAGAUGAAAAGAACUUUGAAAAGAGAGUUAAACAGUACGUGAAAUUGUCAAAAGGGAAGCGUUUGACACCAGUGUUGUUUUUCUGAAAAUCAAUUAAAGAACUGUUUAUGCUAAGCUGUUUAGACUUUAUCAGCUAACUGUUUAGUUUUGAGCUUUUCUUUAAUGCACUUUUCAGUUAACAAGUCAACAUCAAUUUCUUUUGCUGUAAAAAAGCUUGAGGAAGGUGGCUUGAGAUUCGUCUUAAGUGUUUAUAGCCUCUUGCCUAUGCAGUCGGAGAGAUUGAGGUCUGCAGCGUAGAUCCUUCGGGGCUAAAUGCAUUUGUGCUAAGUUAUAGCAUUUUAUAGACAACUUGUUGACUAUGAUUUGUCUUGUAGCUUACUCGCUUAUGUUAUUUUACCUACGCUUAGGAUGUUGAUAUGCAUGACUGAUAU
rnacentral:rRNA from 1 species